GACGAACGCUGGCGGCGUGCUUAACACAUGCAAGUCGAACGGAAAGGCCCUGCUUUUGUGGGGUGCUCGAGUGGCGAACGGGUGCGUAACACGUGAGUAACCUGCCCUUGACUUUGGGAUAACUUCAGGAAACUGGGGCUAAUACCGGAUAGGAGCUCCUGCUGCAUGGUGGGGGUUGGAAAGUUUCGGCGGUUGGGGAUGGACUCGCGGCUUAUCAGCUUGUUGGUGGGGUAGUGGCUUACCAAGGCUUUGACGGGUAGCCGGCCUGAGAGGGUGACCGGCCACAUGGGGACUGAGAUACGGCCCAGACUCGUACGGUAGGCAGCAGUGGGGAAUAUGGCACAAUGGGCGGAAGCGUGAUGCAGCAACGCCGCGUGCGGGAUGACGGCCUUCGGGUUGUAAACCGCAUUCGCCUGUGACGAAGCGUGAGUGACGGUAAUGGGUAAAGAAGCACCGGCUAACUACGUG
rnacentral:rRNA from 1 species